UACACUCCUGCGGGAGGCAGCAGUGGGGAAUUUUGGACAAUGGGGGCAACCCUGAUCCAGCAAUGCCGCGUGAGUGAAGAAGGCCUUCGGGUUGUAAAGCUCUUUUGUCAGGGAAGAAACGGUGGUGGCGAAUAACUACUACUAAUGACGGUACCUGAAGAAUAAGCACCGGCUAACUACGUGCCAGCAGCCGCGGUAAUACGUAGGGUGCAAGCGUUAAUCGGAAUUACUGGGCGUAAAGCGUGCGCAGGCGGUUGUGUAAGUCAGAUGUGAACUCCCCGGGCUCAACCUGGGAAUUGCAUUUGAGACUGCACGGCUAGAGUGUGUCAGAGGGGGGUAGAAUUCCACGUGUAGCAGUGAAAUGCGUAGAUAUGUGGAGGAAUACCGAUGGCGAAGGCAGCCCCCUGGGAUAACACUGACGCUCAUGCACGAAAGCGUGGGGAGCAAACAGGAUUAGAAACCCCUGUAGUCCCAUG
rnacentral:rRNA from 1 species